rnacentral:rRNA from 1 species
UAGUCCACGCCGUAAACGAUGUAUGCUAGAUGUCUGGAUUUCGGUCUGGGUGCCGGAGCUAACGCAUUAAGUUGACCGCCUGGGGAGUACGGUCGCAAGACUAAAACUCAAAGGAAUUGACGGGGCCCGCACAAGCGGUGGAGUAUGUGGUUUAAUUCGAUGCAACGCGAAGAACCUUACCUGGAUUUGACAUCCCGUGCUACCCCUGGAAACGGGGGGUUCUCUUCGGAGACGCGGUGACAGGUGCUGCAUGGCUGUCGUCAGCUCGUGUCGUGAGAUGUUGGGUUAAGUCCCGCAACGAGCGCAACCCUUAUCCUUAGUUGCCAGCACAUUAUGGUGGGAACUCUAGGGANACUGCCGGUGACAAACCGGNGGAAGGUGGGGAUGACGUCAAGUCAUCAUGGGCCCUUAUGGGGUAGGGGCUACACACGUGCUACAAUGGUCGGUACAGAGGGGUUGCCAAGCCGCGAGGUGGAGCUAAUCUCACAAAACCGNUCGUAGUCCGGAUU